GAGCGCGUGUAGCGAUACACGAGCGGCAGACGGGAGAGUAACACGUGGGAACGCGCCCUUUGGUUCGGAAUAACCCAGGGAAACCUGGGCUAAUACCGGAUACGCCCUUACGGGGAAAGAUUUAUUGCCGAAGGAACGGCCCGCGCCCGAUUAGCUAGUUGGUGAGGUAACGGCUCACCAAGGCGACGAUCGGUAGCUGGUCUGAGAGGAUGACCAGCCUCACUGGGACUGAGACACGGCCCAGACUCCUACGGGAGGCAGCAGUGGGGAAUAUUGGACAAUGGGCGCAAGCCUGAUCCAGCCAUGCCGCGUGGGUGAUGAAGGCCCUAGGGUUGUAAAGCCCUUUCGGCGGGGAAGAUAAUGACGGUACCCGCAGAAGAAGCCCCGGCUAACUUCGUG
rnacentral:rRNA from 1 species